rnacentral:lncRNA from 1 species
AUGAGGCGGGAACAGUCGUGCAGAUGCGGCCGGCGCCGGGCCGCCAGGAACCGGUGCAGGUGCGGCCGGAGCCGAGCCGCCAGGAACCGGUGCAGGUGCGGCCGGAGCCGGGCCGCCAGGAACCGAUGCAGGUGCGGCCGGAGCCGAGCCGCCAGGAACCGAUGCAGGUGCGGCCGGAGCCGAGCCGCCAGGAACCGAUGCAGGUGCGGCCGGAGCCGCGACGGGAACGACCCCCUCCUGGAGGUCGGCACGAACAAUGACUGGCGCGACCCCCUCCUGGAGGUCCGCCGGGACCGCGACGGGCGCGACCCCCUCCUGGAGGUCCGCCGGGACAGCGACGGGCGCGACCCCCUCCUGGAGGUCCGCCGGGACUGCGACGGGCGCGACCCCCUCCUGGAGGUCCGCCGGGACUGCGACGGGCGCGACCCCCUCCUGGAGGUCCGCCGGGACUGCGGCUGGCGCGACCCCCUCCUGGAGGUCCGCCGGGACUGCGGCUGGCGCGACCCCCUCCUGGAGGUCCGCAGGAGCUGCAGCGGGCGCCGCCUCCUCCUGGAGGUCCGCAGGAGCUGCAGCAGGCGCCGCCUCCUCCUGGAGGCCGGCGGGCGCUGCGGCUCCGAGGGUGACAGGGACUGGAACGGCCGCUACAGGGCCGAUGGGAACCGGACCAGGGACGGGAACGACCUCAACUUGGCCUACAGGGACGGGAACGACCUCUACUUGGCCUACAGGGACGGGAACGCCCCCUACAUGGCCGACAGGGACUGGAACGACCUCUACAUGGCCGACAGGGACUGGAUCGACCUCUACAUGGCCGACAGGGACUGGAACGGCAUCUACUUGGCCGACAGGGACUGGAACGGCAUCUACUUGGCCGACAGGGACUGGAACGGCAUCUACUUGGCCGACAGGAACAGGAACGGCAUCUACUUGGCCGACAGGAACAGGAACGGCAUCUACUUGGCCGACAGGAACAGGAACGGCAUCUACUUGGCCGACAGGAACAGGAACGACAUCUACUUGGCCGACAGGAACAGGAACGGCAUCUACUUGGCCGACAUGAACAGGAACGGCAUCUACUUGGCCGACAGGAACAGGAACUUCACUAGAGCCGGCGGCGCUGCUCUCAGGCUCCUCACAGGAGCCGGCGGCGCUGCUCUCAGGCUCCUCACAGGAGCCGGCGGCGCUGCUCUCAGGCUCCUCACAGGAGCCGGCAGGGACUGA